rnacentral:rRNA from 1 species
AUUGAACGCUGGCGGCAUGCCUUACACAUGCAAGUCGAACGGCAGCACGGGGGCAACCCUGGUGGCGAGUGGCGAACGGGUGAGUAACGCAUCGGAAUGUACCCAGUAGUGGGGGAUAACUAGUCGAAAGAUUAGCUAAUACCGCAUACGCACUGAGGUGGAAAGUGGGGGAUCGCAAGACCUCGCGCUAUUGGAGCAGCCGAUGUCCGAUUAGGUAGUUGGUGGGGUAAAGGCCUACCAAGCCUGCGAUCGGUAACUGGUCUGAGAGGACGACCAGUCACACUGGGACUGAGACACGGCCCAGACUCCUACGGGAGGCAGCAGUGGGGAAUUGUGGACAAUGGCGCAAGCCUGAGCCAGCAAUGCCGCGUGUGUGAAGAAGGCCUUCGGGUUGUAAAGCACUUUUGGCGGGAGCGAAACGGCGUUUGCUAAUACCAGACGCUAAUGACGGUACCCGCAGAAUAAGCACCGGCUAACUACGUGCCAGCCGCCGCGGUAA